rnacentral:tRNA from 2 species
UCUAAUGUGGCAGAUUAGUGCAAUGAAUUUAAGCUUCAUAUAUAAAGUCCUUCACUUUUAUUAGAA